UCCCUGGAGGGCUACUGGUUAGGCCUUGGCGCUCUCAUCACCGCAGCCCGGGUUCGAUUACUGGCAAGGGCA
rnacentral:tRNA from 1 species